rnacentral:rRNA from 1 species
UACGUAGGGCGCAAGCGUUAUCCGGAAUUAUUGGGCGUAAAGAGCUCGUAGGCGGUUUGUCGCGUCUGCCGUGAAAGUCCGGGGCUCAACUCCGGAUCUGCGGUGGGUACGGGCAGACUAGAGUGAUGUAGGGGAGACUGGAAUUCCUGGUGUAGCGGUGAAAUGCGCAGAUAUCAGGAGGAACACCGAUGGCGAAGGCAGGUCUCUGGGCAUUAACUGACGCUGAGAAGCGAAAGCAUGGGGAGCAAACAGG